GUGGCUCAGUGGUAGAGCCUCUUCUUGGUAUGCAGAAGGUCCCAGAUUCAAUCCCAGGUCCCA
rnacentral:tRNA from 1 species